rnacentral:rRNA from 1 species
GACGAACGCUGGCGGCGUGCUUAACACAUGCAAGUCGAACGAUGAAGCCGGAGCUUGCUCUGGUGAAUUAGUGGCGAACGGGUGAGUAACACGUGAGUAACCUGCCCUUGACUCUGGGAUAACUGCGGGAAACUGUAGCUAAUACCGGAUACGACCCUCGGAGGCAUCUCCUGGGGGUGGAAAGAAUUUCGGUCAAGGAUGGACUCGCGGCCUAUCAGCUAGUUGGUGGGGUAAAGGCUCACCAAGGCGACCACGGGUAGCCGGCCUGAGAGGGUGACCGGCCACACUGGGACUGAGACACGGCCCAGACUCCUACGGGAGGCAGCAGUGGGGAAUAUUGCACAAUGGGCGCAAGCCUGAUGCAGCAACGCCGCGUGAGGGAUGACGGCCUUCGGGUUGUAAACCUCUUUUAGCAGGGAAGAAGCGAAAGUGACGGUACCUGCAGAAAAAGCACCGGCUAACUACGUGCCAGCCGCCGCAGUAA